rnacentral:rRNA from 1 species
AUACGUAGGUGGCAAGCGUUGUCCGGAUUUACUGGGUGUAAAGGGCGUGUAGGCGGAAUAGCGAGUCAGAUGUGAAAUACGGGGGCUCAACCCCCGGGCUGCAUUUGAAACUGCUUAGCUAGAGUGUCGGAGAGGUAAGUGGAAUUCCUAGUGUAGCGGUGAAAUGCGUAGAUAUUAGGAGGAACACCAGUGGCGAAGGCGGCCUGCUGGGCUUUUACUGACGCUGAGGCUCGAAAGUGUGGGUAGC